rnacentral:tRNA from 1 species
UCUAAUGUGGCAGAAUAGUGUAAUGAACUUAAGAUUCAUAAAUAAAAUAAAUUUUCUUUAGAA